rnacentral:rRNA from 1 species
UACGAAGGGUGCAAGCGUUACUCGGAAUUACUGGGCGUAAAGCGUGCGUAGGUGGUUUGUUAAGUCUGUUGUGAAAGCCCCGGGCUCAACCUGGGAAUGGCAAUGGAUACUGGCAGGCUAGAGUGCGGUAGAGGGUAGUGGAAUUCCCGGUGUAGCGGUGAAAUGCGUAGAGAUCGGGAGGGACACCAGUGGCGAAGGCGGCUACCUGGACCAGCACUGACACUGAAGCACGAAAGCGUGGGGAGCAAACAGG